rnacentral:rRNA from 1 species
UACGAAGGGGGCGAGCGUUGUUCGGAAUUACUGGGCGUAAAGGGCGCGCAGGCGGCCUUAGAAGUCAGAUGUGAAAGCCCCGGGCUUAACCCGGGAAUGGCAUUGGAAACUGCUGAUCUGGAGGAUCGGAGGGGGGACUGGAAUUCUUGGUGUAGCAGUGAAAUGCGUAGAUAUCAAGAGGAACACCAGUGGCGAAGGCGAGUCCCUGGACGAUACCUGACACUGAGGCACGAAAGCCAAGGGAGCAAACAGG